UACGGGGGGGGCAAGCGUUGUUCGGAAUUACUGGGCGUAAAGGGCUCGUAGGCGGCCAACUAAGUCGGAUGUGAAAUCCCCAGGCUUAACCUGGGAACUGCAUCCGAUACUGGAUGGCUUGAAUCCGGGAGAGGGAUGCGGAAUUCCAGGUGUAGCGGUGAAAUGCGUAGAUAUCUGGAGGAAUACCGGUGGCGAAGGCGGCAUCCUGGACCGGCAUUGACGCUGAGGAGCGAAAGCCAGGGGAGCAAACGGG
rnacentral:rRNA from 1 species